UGGAAAAGGAUGUGGAGUUGCUGUGACAACCAGGAGGUUGGCUUAGAAGCAGCCACCCUUUAAAGAAAGCGUAACAGCUCACUGGUCUAGCGAUUUUGCGCCGAAAAUAUAACGGGGCUAAGACAAGCACCGAAGCUCUAGAUUCAUAGUUUACUAUGAGUGGUAGGAGAGCGUUCCAUUCAGCGCUGAAGGUAUACCGGUAAGGAGUACUGGAGCGGAUGGAAGUGAGCAUGCAGGCAUGAGUAGCGAGAAAAGAAGUGAGAAUCUUCUUCGCCGAAAACCCAAGGUUUCCUACGCGAUGCUCGUCAUCGUAGGGUUAGUCGGGACCUAAGUCGAGUCCGAAAGGGGUAGACGAUGGCAAAUCGGUUAAUAUUCCGAUACCGACAUUACAUCAUUUGAGUGAUGGGGGGACGCAUAGAGUUAGACGAGGUCACUGAUGGAAUAGUGGCUCGAAGGAAGUAGGUUGAGAAGUAGGAAAAUCCGCUUCUCAUGCAACCGAGAUCUUACAGGCUGAACAAUCUCUUCGGAGAGCGUUUAGAAUCGUCGAUACUGUCGUGCCGAGAAAAGCCUCUAAACGAGAUGUAAUGUUGCCCGUACCGUAAACCAACACAGGUGGGUGAGAUGAGUAUUCUAAGGCGCGUGGAUGAACCAUUGUUAAGGAACUCUGCAAACUAGCACCGUAUCUUCGGUAUAAGGUGUACCCUAUUUGUUAGAAGACUUGCUCUUCAAAGCAUUGAUGGGUGGCAGCAAAGUGUCCCUCCCGACUGUUUACCAAAAACACAGCACUCUGCUAACUCGUAAGAGGAUGUAUAGGGUGUGACGCCUGCCCGGUGCUCGAAGGUUAAAAGGAUCCGUUAGCUUUGCGAAGCGGUGAAUUGAAGCCCGAGUAAACGGCGGCCGUAACUAUAACGGUCCUAAGGUAGCGAAAUUCCUUGUCGGUUAAAUACCGACCUGCAUGAAUGGCGUAACGAGAUGGGAGCUGUCUCAACCAGGGAUCCAGUGAAAUUGUAGUGGAGGUGAAAAUUCCUCCUACCCGCGGAAAGACGGAAAGACCCCGUGCACCUUUACUAUAGCUUGACACUGCUAUUGGGAUAUUCAUGUGCAGGAUAGGUGGGAGCCUUUGAUUCAUAGUCGCUAGAUUAUGAUGAGGCAUCCUUGAGAUACCACCCUUGAAUAUUCUGAUAGCUAACUCCGUACAAUUAUCUUGUGCGAGGACAAUGUCUGGUGGGUAGUUUGACUGGGGCGGUCGCCUCCUAAAAAGUAACGGAGGCUUACAAAGGUUGGCUCAUAUCGGUUGGAAAUCGAUAGCAGAGU
rnacentral:rRNA from 1 species